rnacentral:rRNA from 1 species
AACAGGAUUAGAUACCCUGGUAGUCCACGCCGUAAACGAUGAGUGCUAGGUGUUGGGGGGCUACGCCCCUCAGUGCCGAAGGUAACCCAUUAAGCACUCCGCCUGGGGAGUACGGCCGCAAGGCUGAAACUCAAAGGAAUUGACGGGGGCCCGCACAAGCGGUGGAGCAUGUGGUUUAAUGCGAAGCAACGCGAAGAACCUUACCAGGGCUUGACAUCCCGCUGACCCCUCCAGAGAUGGAGGUUUCCUUCGGGACAGCGGUGACAGGUGGUGCAUGGUUGUCGUCAGCUCGUGUCGUGAGAUGUUGGGUUCAGUCCCGCAACGAGCGCAACCCUUGUCGUUAGUUGCCAGCAUUUCGGAUGGGCACUCUAACGAGACAGCCGGUGAAAGCCGGAGGAAGGUGGGGAUGACGUCAAAUCAUCAUGCCCCUUAUGUCCCGGGCUACACACGUGCUACAAUGGCUGGUACAAAGGGCAGCGAACCCGCGAGGGGGAGCCAAUCCCAAAAAGCCAGUCUCAGUUCGGAUCGCAGGCUGCAACUCGCCUGCGUGAAGCCGGAAUCGCUAGUAAUCGCGGAUCAGCAUGCCGCGGUGAAUAUGUUCCCGGGCCUUGUACACACCGCCCGUCACACCACGAGAGUUUGCAACACCCGAAGUCGGUGAGGCAACCUUUUAGGAGCCAGCCGCCGAAGGUGGGGCAGAUGAUUGGGGUGAAGUCGUAACAAGGUAACC